rnacentral:rRNA from 1 species
CAGUCGCCGCGGUAAUACGUAGGUGGCAAGCGUUAUCCGGAAUUAUUGGGCGUAAAGUGCGCGUAGGCGGUUUUUUAAGUCUGAUGUGAAAGCCCACGGCUCAACCGUGGAGGGUCAUUGGAAACUGGAAAACUUGAGUGCAGAAGAGGAAAGUGGAAUUCCAUGUGUAGCGGUGAAAUGCGCAGAGAUAUGGAGGAACACCAGUGGCGAAGGCGACUUUCUGGUCUGUAACUGACGCUGAUGUGCGAAAGCGUGGGGAUCAAACAGGAUUAGAUACCCGCGUAGUCCCUGUCUCUUAUAC